GACGUAGGGCGCGAGCGUUGUCCGGAUUUAUUGGGCGUAAAGAGCUCGUAGGCGGCUUGUCGCGUCGUCCGUGAAAACCUGCAGCUCAACUGCAGGCUUGCGGUCGAUACGGGCAGGCUGGAGUUCGGUAGGGGAGACUGGAAUUCCUGGUGUAGCGGUGAAAUGCGCAGAUAUCAGGAGGAACACCGGUGGCGAAGGCGGAUCUCUGGGCCGAUACUGACGCUGAGGAGCGAAAGCGUGGGGAGCGAACAGG
rnacentral:rRNA from 1 species